AAGCUGACCCACGCCAUUGGUUCGCCAGGACGCAGCCGCGUCUUGGCGAGACAACAGGGAACCCGGUGCGAUUCCGGGGCUGCCCCGCAGCGGUAUGUGGGAACGAAAGCUGUCACCGCGGGAGCGGUAAAGCACUGGGCGUCCAGCCCGGGAAGCGACAGCCGGCAGGCACGAGCGGUACGCCCACGAGUCCGAAUACCUGCCAAUGGCACGCACGCCGA
rnacentral:ncRNA from 2 species